rnacentral:rRNA from 1 species
UUAAGCGACUAAGCGUACACGGUGGAUGCCCUGGCAGUCAGAGGCGAUGAAGGACGUGCUAAUCUGCGAAAAGCGUCGGUAAGGUGAUAUGAACCGUUAUAACCGGCGAUGUCCGAAUGGGAAACCCAGUGCAAUUCGUUGCACUAUCGUUAACUGAAUACAUAGGUUAACGAGGCGAACCGGGGAACUGAAACAUCUAAGUACCCCGAGGAAAAGAAAUCAACCGAGAUUCCCCAGUAGCGGCGAGCGAACGGGAGCAGCCCAGAGUCUGAAUCAGCUGUGUGUUAGUGGAACGGUCUGGAAAGUCCGACGGUACAGGGUGAUAGUCCCGUACACCAAAAUGCACAGGUUGUGAACUCGAAGAGUAGGGCGGGACACGUGGUAUCCUGUCUGAAUAUGGGGGGACCAUCCUCCAAGGCUAAAUACUCCUGACUGACCGAUAGUGAACCAGUACCGUGAGGGAAAGGCGAAAAGAACCCCGGCGAGGGGAGUGAAAAAGAACCUGAAACCGUGUACGUACAAGCAGUGGGAGCACCUUCGGGUGUGACUGCGUACCUUUUGUAUAAUGGGUCAGCGACUUAUAUUCUGUAGCAAGGUUAACCGUAUAGGGGAGCCGCAGGGAAACCGAGUCUUAACUGGGCGUUAAGUUGCAGGGUAUAGACCCGAAACCCGGUGAUCUAGCCAUGGGCAGGUUGAAGGUUGGGUAACACUAACUGGAGGACCGAACCGACUAAUGUUGAAAAAUUAGCGGAUGACUUGUGGCUGGGGUGAAAGGCCAAUCAAACCGGGAGAUAGCUGGUUCUCCCGAAAGCUAUUUAGGUAGCGCCUCGUGAACUCAUCUUCGGGGUAGAGCACUGUUUCGGCUAGGGGUCAUCCCGACUUACCAACCCGAUGCAAACUACGAAUACCGAAGAAUGUUAUCACGGGAGACACACGGCGGUGCUAACGUCCGUCGUGAAGAGGGAAACAACCCAGACCGCCAGCUAAGGUCCCAAAGUCAUGGUUAAGUGGAAACGAUGUGGGAAGGCACAGACAGCCAGGAUGUUGGCUUAGAAGCAGCCAUCAUUUAAAGAAAGCGUAAUAGCUCACUGGUCGAGUCGGCCUGCGCGGAAGAUGUAACGGGGCUAAACCAUGCACCGAAGCUGCGGCAGCGACACUAUGUGUUGUUGGGUAGGGGAGCGUUCUGUAAGCCUGCGAAGGUGUGCUGUGAGGCAUGCUGGAGGUAUCAGAAGUGCGAAUGCUGACAUAAGUAACGAUAAAGCGGGUGAAAAGCCCGCUCGCCGGAAGACCAAGGGUUCCUGUCCAACGUUAAUCGGGGCAGGGUGAGUCGACCCCUAAGGCGAGGCCGAAAGGCGUAGUCGAUGGGAAACAGGUUAAUAUUCCUGUACUUGGUGUUACUGCGAAGGGGGGACGGAGAAGGCUAUGUUAGCCGGGCGACGGUUGUCCCGGUUUAAGCAUGUAGGCUGAUUGUCCAGGCAAAUCCGGAUAAUCAAGGCUGAGGUGUGAUGACGAGGCACUACGGUGCUGAAGUAACAAAUGCCCUGCUUCCAGGAAAAGCCUCUAAGCAUCAGGUAACAUUAAAUCGUACCCCAAACCGACACAGGUGGUCAGGUAGAGAAUACCAAGGCGCUUGAGAGAACUCGGGUGAAGGAACUAGGCAAAAUGGUGCCGUAACUUCGGGAGAAGGCACGCUGGUGUGUAGGUGAAGUCCCUGCGGAUGGAGCUGAGACCAGUCGAAGAUACCAGCUGGCUGCAACUGUUUAUUAAAAACACAGCACUGUGCAAACACGAAAGUGGACGUAUACGGUGUGACGCCUGCCCGGUGCCGGAAGGUUAAUUGAUGGGGUUAUCCGUAAGGAGAAGCUCUUGAUCGAAGCCCGGUAAACGGCGGCCGUAACUAUAACGGUCCUAAGGUAGCGAAAUUCCUUGUCGGGUAAGUUCCGACCUGCACGAAUGGCGUAAUGAUGGCGCUGUCUCCACCCGAGACUCAGUGAAAUUGAACUCGCUGUGAAGAUGCAGUGUACCCGCGGCAAGACGGAAAGACCCGUGAACCUUUACUAUAGCUUGACACUGAACAUUGAGCCUUGAUGUAGGAUAGGUGGGAGGCUUUGAAGCGUGGACGCCAGUCUGCGUGGAGCCAACCUUGAAAUACCACCCUUUAAUGUUUGAUGUUCUAACGUUGGCCCCUGACCGGGGUUGCGGACAGUGUCUGGUGGGUAGUUUGACUGGGGCGGUCUCCUCCCAAAGCGUAACGGAGGAGCACGAAGGUUAGCUAAUCCUGGUCGGACAUCAGGAGGUUAGUGCAAUGGCAUAAGCUAGCUUGACUGCGAGCGUGACGGCGCGAGCAGGUGCGAAAGCAGGUCAUAGUGAUCCGGUGGUUCUGAAUGGAAGGGCCAUCGCUCAACGGAUAAAAGGUACUCCGGGGAUAACAGGCUGAUACCGCCCAAGAGUUCAUAUCGACGGCGGUGUUUGGCACCUCGAUGUCGGCUCAUCACAUCCUGGGGCUGAAGUAGGUCCCAAGGGUAUGGCUGUUCGCCAUUUAAAGUGGUACGCGAGCUGGGUUUAGAACGUCGUGAGACAGUUCGGUCCCUAUCUGCCGUGGGCGCUGGAGAAUUGAGGGGGGCUGCUCCUAGUACGAGAGGACCGGAGUGGACGCAUCACUGGUGUUCGGGUUGUCAUGCCAAUGGCACUGCCCGGUAGCUAAAUGCGGAAGAGAUAAGUGCUGAAAGCAUCUAAGCACGAAACUUGCCCCGAGAUGAGUUCUCCCUGAGACUUUAAGUCUCCUGAAGGAACGUUGAAGACGACGACGUUGAUAGGCCGGGUGUGUAAGCGCAGCGAUGCGUUGAGCUAACCGGUACUAAUGAACCGUGAGGCUUAACCU